GCCUCGGUGCUGCAGUUGAUUAGCACGUGUCUUUGGAAGGGUGGAAUGUGGGUUCGAUUUCCGUCCGAGGCU